CAGCAGAUGAAGUGGGUGAAGCAUCAGAAGGAUGUGAAAGUUGGCAACUGAAAGUCCGAGAUAGCGGUGCUGUCCUCGGGAGGCCAUUCACAGUGCAGCGGUUUUGUUCUGAACAGUGAAUGAAUGGCUUCAAAGAGAUGCAAUGAACUUCCUUCGUUGUGACAGCGCUGAGAAGAGCAGCCGCUUCCUCAGCCUCCUUCCCUGAAGCUGUCACUUCCAGAUCAUGCAGUGGGAAAGAUGCAGCUGCUUAUGAUGGGUGUCACUGAACGGUCUCUCGGCACCUGCCUUGCCAUGCCUGCUCAAUGAACUGAUUUCUGGAGGAGAAAGGGGGUUCACACCAACUGUGUAGCCUUUUGUGUCCAGCUGCGGGCUGGGC